GCCAUCAGGUUAAGCUGGGGACGUCUAAAGGAACUGCCUACGCAAGUAGUGAGGAAGCGGGGAUGACGUCAAAUCAGCACGGCCCUUACGUCCAGGGCUACACACGUGCUACAAUGGCCGAUACAGAGGGCAGCUACCUGGUGACAGGAUGCAAAUCUCCAAAGUCGGUCUCAGUUCGGAUCGGAGUCUGCAACCCGACUCCGUGAAGUUGGAUUCGCUAGUAAUCGCGCAUCAGCCAUGGCGCGGUGAAUACGUUCCCGGGCCUU
rnacentral:rRNA from 1 species